GGUGGGGUGGCUGAAUGGUAGGCAACGACCCGCAAGGUCGUGCAUGCAGGUUCGAAUCCUGCCCCCACCUCUA
rnacentral:tRNA from 1 species